rnacentral:rRNA from 1 species
AGCAGCCGCGGUAAUUCCAGCUCCAAUAGCGUAUAUUAAAGUUGUUGCAGUUAAAAAGCUCGUAGUUGAAUUUCGGGGUCAGUAGGUCGGUCGUGCCACUGGUAUGAACUGGUCUCACUGAUUCCUCCCUCUUGUAGAACCGUGAUGCCAUUAAUUUGGUGUUGCGGGGAAACAGGACUGUUACUUUAGAAAAAAUUAGAGUAGUUUAAAGCAAGCUAACGCUUGAAUACAUUAGCAUGGAAUAAUGAAAUAGGACGUCGAUCUUAUUUUGUUGGUUUCUAGGGUUGACGUAAUGAUUAAUAGGGAUAGUUGGGGGCAUUAGUAUUCAAUUGUCAGAGGUGAAAUUCUUGGAUUUAUUGAAGACUAACUACUGCGAAAGCAUUUGCCAAGGAUGUUUCAUUAAUCAAGAACGAAAGUUAGGGGAUCGAAGACGAUCAGAUACCGUCGUAGUCUUAACCAUAAACUAUGCCGACUAGGGAUCGGAUGAUGUUAAUUUUUAAUGACUCAUUCGGCGCCUUAC